rnacentral:rRNA from 1 species
UACAGAGGGGGCAAGCGUUGUUCGGAAUUACUGGGCGUAAAGGGCGCGUAGGCGGUCAGCACAAGUCAGUUGUGAAAUCUCCGAGCUUAACUCGGAACGGUCAACUGAUACUGUGCGACUAGAGUGCGGAAGGGGCAACUGGAAUUCUCGGUGUAGCGGUGAAAUGCGUAGAUAUCGAGAGGAACACCUGCGGCGAAGGCGGGUUGCUGGGCCGACACUGACGCUGAUGCGCGAAAGCCAGGGGAGCGAACGGG